rnacentral:rRNA from 1 species
CCUACGGGUGGCAGCAGUCGAGAAUCAUUCACAAUGGGGGAAACCCUGAUGGUGCGACGCCGCGUGGGGGAAUGAAGGUCUUCGGAUUGUAAACCCCUGUCAUGUGGGAGCAAAUUAAAAAGAUAGUACCACAAGAGGAAGAGACGGCUAACUCUGUGCCAGCAGCCGCGGUAAUACAGAGGUCUCAAGCGUUGUUCGGAAUCACUGGGCGUAAAGCGUGCGUAGGCUGUUUCGUAAGUCGGGUGUGAAAGGUGCGGGCUCAACCCGCGGACGGCACAUGUUACUGCGAGACUAGAGUAAUGGAGGGGUGACCGGAAUGCUCGGUGUAGCAGUGAAAUGCGUAGAUAUCGAGAGGAACACUCGUGGCGAAGGCGGGUUCCUGGACAUUAACUGACGCUGAGGCACGAAGGCCAGGGGAGCGAAAGGGAUUAGAUACCCUUGUAGUC